CGCAGAACCUUACCCAACCCUUGACAUGCCUGGACAAUCCGAGAGAUCGGACUUUCCUUCGGGACCAGUGCACAGGUGCUGCAUGGCUGUCGUCAGCUAGUGUCGUGAGAUGUUCGGUUAAGUCCGGCAACGAGCGCAACCCACAUCUUUAGUUGCCAGCAGGUUAAGCUGGGCACUCUAGAGAAACUGCCCGUGAUAAGCGGGAGGAAGGUGUGGAUGACGUCAAGUCCUCAUGGCCCUUACGGGUUGGGCUACACACGUGCUACAAUGGCAGUGACAAUGGGUUAAUCCCAAAAAGCUGUCUCAGUUCGGAUUGGGGUCUGCAACUCGACCCCAUGAAGUCGGAAUCGCUAGUAAUCGCGUAACAGCAUGACGCGGUGAAUACGUUCCCGGGCCUUGUACACACCGCCCGUCACACCAUGGGAGUUGGUUCUACCCGACGACGCUGCGCUAACCCUUCGGGGAGGCAGGCGGCCACGGUAGGAUCAGCGACUGGGGUGAAGUCGUAACAAGGUAGCCGUAR
rnacentral:rRNA from 1 species